GUCGAUUCCGGAGCUCAACUGUGAGCUAUCGAACGUGAUCGAGGUAUGACUAACAGUUAUAAUAAAAUCAACGAAGGCUCUUUAUGGCCAAUGAUAAGCAAUAAAUGAUGAACAAUAAUGAAGAUAAUAAAUGGAAUCAAUAAUAUAAAGAGAAUGUGUUAGAGAGCAGAGCAAAUCUUCUUAUAUAUUUUGUGUGGAGCGACUGAAGCAAUAGAGGUCUACAAAAUGACAAGGAUCCCCUUUACAUAGAAGGGGAAUUCCAACAUAGUACAAAAUAUAUUAAUGACAAAGAAGCGGAGAUGGGACAGCUAGAUGAUACCCUAAUUUAGGGUUAGGGUAGUCCACUAGGCUCUGUCAGUCCUAGCCGUGUACCUUAGGAACUCCUCAUUUCUACUAUAGCCGUGGUCAACAUUGUCCCAAGGUCGGGCGUCGACGAACCUCGAGGGAGGAAACUCGACCAUAGCCUUGUAGCCUCGAGGCUUCGAGAUGAUCUUCUGAGGUAUCUCGACCAUAGAAUAUUUGAUGCCUUAGGCCCGCAAUUCUAACUUUAAUAAGACCACCCCAAAUUAUCAUUAUGGAGAAAAAUAAAUAAGACAAAUAACCCCUAAUUGAAAAAUCAGUGUAAUUCGGAUGACACUUUAGUAAUAAAAAUGACGACCAAUCUACGUCCAUAUUCUUUUGGAAUGAUGUAGAAAUUCUUCAAAUAGUUAUGACAUCAACAACUAUGGGAAAAGGAAAUAUAUAAAAGUAAGAAGCAUCCAAGGUAAGCCCAACUCCAACAAAAAAGUAACAAAAACUCAAGAAGGAAAACUCAAACAAUAGAAAGGAAGGACAAAGAUGAGUAGUACCGUGAGAAGGUUGACCAUUUUCAGCAAUAUUAUGUAUCCUUGAUGUUUGUGAUACUCGUUUACCUUAGCUAUUUAAGGCUGUCUCUCAUAAGCUAUUAUGGUCUCGUAUGAGUCAUUGACCUAUACUUUAUUCAAUAACUUCUUUCACUUCUUUGAGAAAAAAUGAAGUUCAUUGACCAAGUGAACAAUAAUAUUGAUCACGUGCGUAGCAAAUUGCGAAACUGUGUAACCGUGAAGAUGCCUUUUUUAAUCACCAGCAAAUGCAAAUUCCCUAAGAAUAAAAAUUAAAAUUCAUGAAUAAAUCAAUAUUUUUUCUUUUGGACAACCAUAGCAACGGGGAAGUUUAUGCCUAACAUCUUUGAAUGAAUGAAGAAACAUGAACAAAAGCCACAAUAUUUCUCAUGUUCUAAAUAUUUCCAAAUUUAUAAAAUAAAAUAAAAAAUAAAUCUUACGAUUAUCUUGGCAAAAUCAUAAUAACUACUCCAUACCCUCACAAAAUCCACCAAUUUCUUCUUUUCCGUGUUGUUAAAGUUUCUCCAAUCAUCUACAUGUAGAGGUGUUAGUUCUGGAGUUCUUGCAAUAAUUCCUAGAAAGCUAGCAAGUUUUCGACUCUCUUUCCCAAUAGCAUGGUUACGAUUAUUAAACGGCACAUCAACUGUCUUCCCCGGCGGAAGUUUCCAAAUAUCUUAUAAUAAAGUAGGCCCAUGAACCUUUUUGGCUUCUGAAUUAUCUAGAAUUAAAAGAUCUGAAUCAUCUGAUGACUUCAAGAAUUCUAAUUCGUGUACAAAAACAAAGCCUUGCGACAAAGACAGUUCAAGAGAUAAAAGGUAUUGAUUCACCAACAAAAACAAUUGUCCAAUGAUUAUAAAACCUUAGGAUAUUGCAAUACAAGGGCUACAAGCAGCAAAAUAUAAGUAAAAGAAAGAACAAAGAAUUCACUCAAAUCAACUAAUAAUCAACCAAUACAAAUAUGGAAAAUUCAUAGCUAACUAACUCAUCUUCUAUAGAAUGACUCAAAUUGAAAGCAGAAAUUAUAUUUAUUCAAAUUUUUGCAUUAUAAAGAUUCGUAGAAGUUCUUAAAUAACACUUGCAAAAUAAUAUUUUAUAAUUACCACCUAUCUUAUUCAGAAUCUCUUUCAUUUCCAAUGUUAUUUCUUCUCUCAAUAUUAGCUUCGCCAUCAUUUGGAGAAUCUUGAGAAUGUAUGAACCGACAGAGAAAACGAACUGAUUUUAGUAACAAGAAUCUAACAACUAAAAUUAUAGGGGAAAACAACGGCUUAGUGUUUGGGAAGUAUCUUGAACCAGCAAGAAGAAAGCGAGCAUGGACUCUUAAAAGGUUCAUUGAGACAGGUAAGCAUGGUAGAUGUCUUUGCAUUAGAAGAAUUUAUAAAAAUAAAAUAUAUAUUCUCUUGCUACACAUGUAAUUCAGUUAAAUAAGAGUUUUCCUUAAGAUUAUCCCUUCUAAUUCAUAAAGUGAGACACUUCAGACUGCUAACUUAGAUUCGGCACUUUGGACAUGAAAUAAAAUUCUAGUUUUAAUUCAAAAAUAACGACAGAACCUAUGAACAUGAUACGUGAGACAUAAGAAAACACAAAUUAAAUUAACACUUGCAUUACUGACUAUCGGUAGGUGAACUUAACAGAAACUAACUUAUCAUUCCAGCUGGGAGGGUUUAAUAUUUAAAUAAAUAGAUUUAAAAUUGAUCAUUUCUUUUAUUAAUAAGUAGCAAAUCUUAGAAGACAUUCACCUAGCAUAUCAAUCAAUAAUUAAUACUUUCAUGAUUUAAAGUGCAAAAGACGAAACUAGAACUAACAGUAUCUUUAUAACAGAAUUCAAGUCACAAAUAUAUCUGGAAAAAAUUAACAUAAUCAAAUCAAUAGAGCAUUAACACGAAGAGAUCUCGAAAACUAACAAACUGCAUAGUUCAUAUCCACUUAAAUCCACAAUUCACAUAGAAUUACUUUACACUUAAAUUAACAGAAUUUUCUUUAAGUAUAGUCUGCUAUAUAAAUAGCUUAAAACAAUCGAAAGUAAAUAUAUAGCAUUAGGAAAAACAAAAUAAUCAAUUCAACCAGUUGUCCGCCAAUUUAACAACAUCCAAAAGAUCACAAAUUACAACAUAGCUGACACAAAUAAAUUAUCUCACAAAUUGCCAUAGUUAGACAUCACAAAUUGGCUUAGGCUCAAGUGUUUGGGUACCUGGUAAGCAGAAUACUUUGAUGAUUAAGAUAAAAAGUGAAGGAGAAGAACGAUGUCAGUAACAAUCUCGAAACCUACAUGAAAAGAGCAGAUUGAGAGUUAAACAACAGCGAUGCCUCAAUAACUUUUUAAAGCAACAGUAAAGAAAAUUACACAUUUGACCAUUGCUCUAUAAAACAUACCUUUAUGACUCAAGACUAUGUCUAAUUACAUACAAAUUAACUCUGCUCUAAUAAGUGCCUUAGUUAUCUUAAACUGCUCAAAUAUAAUGUGAUAAAUAAUGAACUUAUUUGCUAGUAGGUUCAUGGAGUCUAACAUAAGACUAUGUCUAAUUACAUUCAAAUUAACUCUAGUCAAAUCAGUAUUUUAGUUAUCUUAACUUGUUCAAAUAUAAUGUGAUAAAUAAUAGAACUUAUUUUCUAGUGGGUUUAUGGAAUCUAACAUAAUUCAAAUGCUUUUCAGUAGAGAAACAUAGAAUUUCUUUUAGAACUAGUGCCUUGUUUUAAGUUUGUUUGAAAGGACUCAAGCUUUAAGCUGUGAAGAAGCCUGAGAGAUCUAAGCGUAAUCAAUCAAGCAUUUCUUUUCAGCAUUUCUUUCUGUUGCUUAACUUUGACCGUUUAUUAGCACCCCCAAACAGCCAUUCUUAGUCAUUUUCAAGCAUAUAUUACGCUAAAAUAUUCUCUAUGCCACAUUACCUAUCUUAAAACACUUUGAGCUCUAGAAACUGCUUCCCACUGUCCUACAUCAAAAAAAUCUUUAUGGUAUUAUGCCAUGCCUAAAGGCCUUCUCACAACGGAAACGUUCUAAAGCCCAUUACCCAUAAAUUAGAAAAGAUACUAAGAAAAUUCUCAUUCAAGAAUUAAAUCUUCGGCUAUCAAAACCAUACACCCAGCAAUUAAAAAUUUGCAUCAACCCAUAGACCUACCCAAUUGAAAACCUAAAGAUAAAUAGAGAUACUUACCAAGAAUUUUGAUGGUGGCCGGCAAUUGGGUUGCCCGAUGGAGAUUUAGAGAGCAAACUGUCAGUGGCCGUAUGAGUUGUUU
rnacentral:lncRNA from 1 species